GAUGAACGCUAGCGGCGUGCCUUAUGCAUGCAAGUCGAACGAGUGGCAAACGGGUGAGUAAUGUAUGGGGACUGCCCGAUAGAGGGGGAUAACUACUGGAAACGGUAGCUAAUACCGCAUACUAUCGGAUAACCCAUAUGGGAUUAGCUAGUAGGUGAGGUAAUGGCUCACCUAGGCGACGAUCCCUAGCUGGUCUGAGAGGAUGAUCAGCCACACUGGGACUGAGACACGGCCCAGACUCCUACGGAGGCAGCAGUGGGGAAUAUUGCACAAUGGGCGCAAGCCUGAUGCAGCCAUGCCGCGUGUAUGAAGAAGGCCCUAGGGUUGUAAAGUACUUUCAGUCGGGAGGCGUUACCGACAGAAGAAGCACCGGCUAACUACGUGCCAGCAGCCGCGGUAAUAC
rnacentral:rRNA from 1 species